ACGAUCGUCGCCGUCGCCGUCGUCGUCGUCGUCGACGACGGAGUGGGCGGCCACCUUGAAGAAGAGCCGGGCGUUGAGCGCGGCAUUGAUCACGCGGAGCAGUGCGUUCGACGAUUGCAGCAUCGACCAAGGAUCCGAGGAAAGCAAGGGCAAAAGCUAGCAUGAACAUGUAGUGUGUCAUGUUUAAGAUUCGAAACAAUAGAACUAAUUGAUAUAGAAAAGAUAAAUGAAGAUGAUGACUUCUUUUUUAGAUUACUGUAUCUUGGUGUGGCACAAACCAUUAGUUAUCUUAUAUAGAUCCCUGAAAUGCAUACUGAUAAUGUUGGUUAAUGGUACGAUGGUUGUGUGCUAGCGUGCGAGCUAUAGUUUCAUAGUCAUUUGGUAGUCAUGAUCAGUACAGUUUCCAAAGAAAGAUAAGCAGCAUUACAUCUGGCAGUCGAUCAUCCUACCCUCUAAGAGUUAGUUGGCUAUUUAGAUACUUAAAUUUCUAGAUAAUAACAUGAGGACAAGGGACUUAACCAAGUUUGAAGUUGCAGAUAGGUUUGAAAGUAAUCAAGUUCUGUUCAUAUUUUUGUCAAUUUGUGAUUUGUUGGUUAAUUUCUGAACUUAGAAAUUCUCGAAUCCACUUGUGUUUGCAUUUUUUUUUUUUUUGUUUUAAUUCCAUGUAGUAGUAUUGUAAUAGCGACUACCCUUUUGGCAAUUUUCACAUUUUACUUGCCUUC